GAUUGCCAGAAAUUGAAAUUGGAGGCGUCAGUUGGUGAGAUGUUUCUUGAGCAUUUGCUACUGGAAGAAUGUGAUUCUAUAACUGAGUUGGUCUCAAGAGCAUGUAAUUUGGAUGUACGUAGUUGUCACAACCUUACUAGUUUUUUGUUUCCUACUGCCACUGAAAUUCUCACUUGCUGCAACCUUACAAUGCUGAAGCGGCUGCCACAACUCCCUCCAUCUCUUAAGCAAUUGACACUGUGGGAUUGUCCAG
rnacentral:misc_RNA from 1 species